AUUGAACGCUGGCGGCAGGCCUAACACAUGCAAGUCGAACGAGUGGCGGACGGGUGAGUAAUGACUGGGAAACUGCCCGAUGGAGGGGGAGAACUACGGGAAACGGUAGCUAAUACCGCAUACCAUCGGAUGUGCCCAGAGGGGAUUAGCUUGUAGGUGGGGUAACGGCUCACCUAGGCGACCAUCCCUAGCUGGGCUGAGAGGAUGACCAGCCACACUGGAACUGAGACACGUUCCAGACUCCUACUGGAGGAAGCAGUGGGGAAUAUUGGACAAUGGGCGAAAGCCUGAUCCAGCCAUGCCGCGUGUGUGAAGAAGGUCUUCGGAUUGUAAAGCACUUUAAGUUGGGAGGCGUUACCAACAGAAUAAGCACCGGCUAACUUCGUGCCAGCCGCCGCGGUAAUAC
rnacentral:rRNA from 1 species